rnacentral:rRNA from 1 species
UACAGAGGUCUCAAGCGUUGUUCGGAUUCAUUGGGCGUAAAGGGGUGCGUAGGGUGGCGGGGUAAGUCAGGUGUGAAAUUUCGGAGCUUAACUCCGAAACUGCAUUUGAUACUGCCUUGCUUGAGGACUGGAGAGGAGACUGGAAUUCACGGUGUAGCAGUGAAAUGCGUAGAUAUCGUAAGGAAGACCAGUGGCGAAGGCGGGUCUCUGGACAGUUCCUGGCGCUGAGGCACGAAGGUCAGGGGAGCAAACGGG